rnacentral:rRNA from 1 species
CCUACGAGAGGCAGCAGUAGGGAAUUUUGCGCAAUGGGGGAAACCCUGACGCAGCAACGCCGCGUGAUCGAUGAAGCCCUUCGGGGUGUACAGAUCUGUCAGUGGGGACGAAACCUGACGGUACCCACAGGGGACGCACCGGCUAACUCCGUGCCAGCAGCCUCGGUAAUUCGGGGGGUGCAAGCGUUGUCCGGAGUACUUGGGCGUAAAGAGUUCGUAGGUGGCACGUGAAGUCUGGUGUGAAAGGGGGAAGCGCAACUUCCGUAGGGCACUGGAUACUGGCGAGCUUGAAUGCGGUAGAGGUAAAGGGAAUGCCUGGUGUAGCGGGGAAAUGCGUAGAUAUCAGGAGGAACAUCGGUGGCGUAGGCGCUUUACUGGGCCGUAAUUGACACUGAGGAACGAAAGCCGGGGUAGCAAAUGGGAUUAGAUACCCCAGUAGUC